UACGUAGGCAGCGAGCGUUGUUCGGAAUUACUGGGCGUAAAGAGUGUGUAGGCGGUGCUCUAAGUUCGGUGUGAAAUCUCCUGGCUUAACUGGGAGGGUGCGCCGGAAACUGGAGUGCUCGAGCGUGGGAGAGGAAAGCGGAAUUCCUGGUGUAGCGGUGAAAUGCGUAGAUAUCAGGAGGAACACCUGUGGUGUAGACGGCUUUCUGGACCAUAGCUGACGCUGAGACACGAAAGCGUGGGUAGCAAACAGG
rnacentral:rRNA from 1 species